ACCAACCGAACCUCCGAGGGGUUUUCUUUACAUCCUACUCUUUUAUCUCUACUUCUCAGAGGUCAACUGAAACCAACCCCACCUAUAUAAAAACACCCUAAUCAGACUGUCACGGUUCUGGGUCAGUGUUGACCCAGCAUUUUGAGUUUCUUAUAUUUUGGUUUAUUUUUGCAUUAUGGAUUAUUUUCUGAUGUUCUGGUGCUUUGUUCAUUAUUAUUAUUAGCAAUAAAGCUGUGUAUUUUGAAGUUUCUUCCGCCUCCGUGAGUCCUGCAUUUUGGGUCCUCUCUUCCUGCCUGCCUACAAACAGACAUGACACAGACACCCUGUAUUUUUCCUCACUACUACACAUCAGCCCUUGCGAGCACAACGCUUGUUCAGCAGGACGGACAGCAAAGCUAACAGUGUUCUUUUGUUGUUUAACAUGGACUUCAUAUAUGGGUCAAUAAGCUGUCCAGAAAUACCUACAGCAGCGGGAGCAAUAAGACCAAGCCUUACAUUAGACCUGAGACAGAGUACGCAGCGUGUCAAGAACCGGGGCCAUCCAGAAUAACACAGACCAAUGUCAAUCACACAACCCCUUCCCACGAUGCGGACCAUGACGACCCCUUGAUGCUUUUGGAAUAUAUACGCGAUAUUGAACUCCCAGAACAACAAGAAAAACCACAAGCUUUGUGCAACAAUGGAGACUAAGAACCAUUCUUCAUCACCGGACCAUACAUACACGCGAGUGCCUGCCUUGUGAUUUCAGCGAUAUUCCUGAGUACAGCCUAUCAGAUUUCAAUAUAGUUGACAUACCCACUACGCCAGAAUGUCUCAGAAACAACAGUGAUACAGACAUAGGUUUUGAAGAAGGCUGCAUAACAGACUCGCAAAUAUCACAGACAUAUAACGCAUACUUAAAUGCAGCAAACACCUCUAAUUUUGAUCAGAGCCAUUCUGCUUCAAACAACGAUAUACUAUCUUUGAUCGAUGCUAAACUCAGCCAACAUCAACAAGCAGUACAGAGGGAUGUGCAAGAAAUAGCAGCUAAAGUCAGCCAACAUCAAGAAGCAGCACAGGGGGACUUGCAAUUAAUAGCAGUGGCUCUAACUAGUACCCAGCAGGCAAUAAACAAUACCUGGGGUUUAUUAGAUCUCAUUAGUACCAGAUUGUUAAAUCACUGACUUUUAAAGUCUACACCAUGGACCCACCCUGUAAAUUAUUCAAACACAAUGAUGGUACCUCCACUCGAGCUAAAUGGUUUCACUUUGAGGCUUUUAACCAGUGGGCUGCGCAAAUAAUAAACAAAUGCGAAGUUUUGCAUGCAAGACUUAGUAGUGUCGCUGUAGCAGACAGUCCUGUGUCUAAUGCACGUCCUUGUCCAACUCAUUCUGAAGCUGUUGCCGAUGAUGCUGUUUAUAUCGAUGUUGUUGCUCAUGCAACCGAUUCACAUCCAGAUAUGCUGCUGCUGCCGCUGCUGUAGGGACUGUUGUUACUCAGGCUACCGCUGAUUGUCUUAUUGCUGAGGCUUCUGUCACAGCUGAUCGGGAGUGUGCACCUGGCGUACAUGCGUAUCUGGGUGCCGCUACAGCUGCUGCUGACGCAUCACCACACAACCCCUCAAACAAUGGAAAUUCCUUAAGUGUUAACCAUUCACAAACAGGUGCUGCAGUAUUCGAGCCCAUUGUUCAGUCUGGGGCAGGCAGUCACAGUCAGCGUAGCAUUAGAGAGAUACUUAAUUUCAACGCCCGAGAAUUGCGUGAGCGCCUUGAUUUUAGGGACAUAAGUCUUGAUGAUCCAGAACAAGUGUCAGAAAGAGUUAGAAGCUGCUUAGCCAAUGUGAUAGAGCUUUGGCUGGAUCUCAGCAGGGUCAUGUUCUAAAUGUGGUCCUGCGUGGACCCUCGUUGGCUUCAGAUGGUCAAGCUGUUUUAAAUCCUGAUGAUCAGUAUGACCCUGACCUGUUUCUCGACCAAAUAGCUCAAGUUAUGCAAAGUAAUGACGAAUUUAUAGGUGAUGGUGAAUUAGAGUUUAUUGUCACGGUUGUGCAAAACAG